UGCGUAGGCGGAAUGAUAAGUUAGUGGUGAAAGCCCCCGGCUCAACCGGGGAACUGCCAUUAAUACUGUCAUUCUUGAGUAUAGUUGAAGUGGGCGGAAUGUAUCAUGUAGCGGUGAAAUGCUUAGAUAUGAUACAGAACACCGAUAGCGUAGGCAGCUUGCUAAACUAUAACUGACGCUCAGGCACGAAAGCGUGGGGAGCAAACAGGAUUAGAUACCCUGGUAGUC
rnacentral:rRNA from 1 species